UACGGGGGGGGCAAGCGUUGUUCGGAAUUACUGGGCGUAAAGGGCUCGUAGGUGGCCAACUAAGUCGGACGUGAAAUCCCUCGGCUUAACCGGGGAACUGCGUCCGAUACUGGUUGGCUUGAGUUUGGGAGAGGGAUGCGGAAUUCCAGGUGUAGCGGUGAAAUGCGCAGAUAUCAGGAAGAACACCCGUGGCGAAGGCGGCUCUCUGGGACGUGACUGACGCUGAGACGCGAAAGCGUGGGGAGCGAACAGG
rnacentral:rRNA from 1 species